rnacentral:rRNA from 1 species
AUUCCAGCUCCGCAGGUGUAUAUCUAUGCUGCUGCGGUUAAAAAGCUCGUAGUUGGAUCUGCGUGCUCGGAACUGGUUGGCUCACUGAGUUCAAACUGGUCUCCGGCGCUUUAUUGGCUGGUUUUCCCUUGAUGCUCUUAACCGGGUGUCUUGGGUGGCUAGCACGUUUACUUUGAAAAAAUUAGAGUGCUCAAUACAGGCGUAAAGCCUUGAAUAGUGGUGCAUGGAAUAAUAGAAUAGGACCUCGGCUCUAUUUUGUUGGUUUUUCGGAACGCGAGGUAAUGAUUAAGAGGGACAGACGGGGGCAUUCGUAUUGCGACGUUAGAGGUGAAAUUCUUGGAUCGUCGCAAGACGGACGACUGCGAAAGCAUUUGCCAAGAAUGUUUUCAUUAAUCAAGAACGAAAGUUAGAGGUUCGAAGGCGAUCAGAUACCGCCCUAGUUCUAACCGUAAACGAUGCCAACUAGCGAUUCGCAGGCGUUAAACAACGACCUUGCGGGCAGCUUCCCGGAAACGAAAGUGUUCGGGUUCCGGGGGAAGUAUGGUUGCAAAGCUGAAACUUAAAGGAAUUGACGGAAGGGCACCACCAGGAGUGGAGCCUGCGGCUUAAUUUGACCCAACACGGGAAAACUCACCCGGCCCGGACACCGUAAGGAUUGACAGAUUGAGAGCUCUUUCUUGAUUCGGUGGGUGGUGGUGCAUGGCCGUUCUUAGUUGGUGGAGCGAUUUGUCUGGUUUAUUCCGAUAACGAACGAGACUCUGGCCUACUAAAUAGUGGGCGGAUUCUUUCUGUCCGCAACACUUCUUAGAGGGACAAGCGGUGUUCAGCCGCACGAGAUUAAGCAAUAACAGGUCUGUGAUGCCCUUAGAUGUCCGGGGCUGCACGCGCGCUACACUGAAGAAAUCAGCGUGCUUUCUGACCUUGCCCGAAAGGGCUGGGUAACCCGAUGAAAAUCCUUCGUGAUUGGGAUAGGGACUUGCAAUUAUUUCCCUUGAACGAGGAAUUCCCAGUAAGUGUAGGUCAUAAGCUCGCGUUGAUUACGUCCCUGCCCUUUGUACACACCGCCCGUCGCUGCCCGGAACUGAGCCGUUUCGAGAAGAACAGGGACCGUCGUUGAAGGGCCUUAACGGGCUUUUCUCUGAUAGAAACUGUU